GUGAUUACACAGCGCCCUUCGGGGCUGCUGGGAUCUGUUGCUAAACCUUUUGCAACAGAAACAGUUAAUUCCAAACGGAAAACCAGAGUUUCUAUUGAACAAAUUCAGUUCUGGAUUGGAAUGCUUCCGCUGUCUGCCAAUCAGAGGCCCGGGGAUCAGUCUGAUGGCUCCUUUCUCCACGGAAUCAUCCUCUCAGCUCUACGGAGGAGUGUUUAAGCCGGCCAUGAUUUGAUUCAACAUGAAGAGGAACAAACCCCAAGGGGAGGAGGAGGUAUAUAAAUAAUAUUAACAAAGACGUGAUAUGAAGGCAGAACAAAAAAAGACCAUGACCCUUUUGUUAUGAGAGGAAACACAUGACAUGAUGAAAUAAGAAAGGUCUAGAACAAUACGUAGAGCAUAUAAUGUGUCAUGCCCUCUUACAAAUCAAGUAUCCCUUGAGAAAAGGAAUAUCAGUCCAUAAUGUAUCUUGUCUAAUUUUCACUGACAUCUUUGGAAAACAUUGAGAAGAUCAACUGAGGAAUCAGUACAGUUACAGCACUAAGACUCAAAGUAAGGAGACUGGGGGACUAAGCUACAACAACUCCAGUCACAGCUAUAAGCCAUUGAUAUUUGUAUAAAAAGAUGCAACUAACUGAAGCAUUGACUAAGCAGUUAGCAGAGUUACCAGCAUGUCCCACAGACUUACACUGCAUCUGAGAGCUGGUCUGGAGCUUUCUCCUCCGCAGGACAGGAGAGAACACCCAGGUUCUCCCUGCAAGCUGACAGCAUCCCCACAGAGAGAUGGGAGACACCAGAGAGGGCAGAGGAGAGGGGUGAAAAGGAUGGAGGGACAGACAAAUGAGACAAAGCUGGAACAUGGAGAGAAAUUAAAAAGGUUAAGUAUAGAGGUGAUAGAAGAGAUGAUUUCUGGUUUGACUGUGUUACGGUGAAGGGUGACGAAAUUAAAUGUCAAUCAGCCAUGAUGAUGAAUAAGUCAGGUGCUUUCUUUCACUCUCUCACUCUCCUCUCUCCACCUUGAAGGCGUCAGCAUGCCUCAGUUCGGCUGGCGCCUAGCUAAACAAGUGUGCUCACAUACUCCCUUAAAACACCUUCGCUUGAAAAACUAGGGGGGAAAAGCACUAAUAGUACUAUGCCCAAAAUACAACGUAUACAUGCAGUGGACACUAUAUCCGUGCUUUAGGGCCCAUAAUGCAAUUCCUCGAAAAAUGGGCUUCACAAGUUUUCAGAUUUGAAGACAAAUGGAGGAAAAUAUGCAGCCGAAGUCCGACGAGAGUGGAUACAAAUUCAUUGCUUUAACUAAUUAUCAAAAAUGUUGAGCAAGGUUAUAAAGUAAUGACUUUUCAAAUAAGUUACAUUAUGUUGGCUGACAAUUUGUUAGCUAUGCUAUCCUUACGAAACGCAUAGCAUUACAGCAGUAUGUACCAGUAUGUUUGCUAGUUACUUAAUGUUUGUUGGCUACUAAUACAUCAAAAUUGUCAGGCAGUAUAUUAACUAAUCUGCUAUUUAACUACCUACCCAACGUUUAUUGACUUGAUUAUUCACAUCAUUCUUAGCUAAGUGGUAUAGUUGUUGUGCGUUUCAAUGGACAUUGUUAAUUCUGGCUAUCUACUCCGAUUUCAGAGCACUCUCGCACAGAAUAACUCAACACCUGUUGAAUGUGGCCGUUGCCAGUAAACGUUGGCAAAGAAAAAGCGUCCUUAAAUUGGUGCCAGCAGCACAGUUACAGUCACCAAGGCUCUGAAUAACAUGAACAGCCUAACCAGCUAUGCUAGGGCAAGUAAAAUGAUCAGAGUGAGGUGUUACUCAUUUGUUAUGCUAACAAGCUAGCAAGAGGUUGCAUAGCAACAGCAUCAACAUCCGGUAGACAGGCGAAGCUCUAGUACUCUCAACUGAAACGAUACCUUUCGCUUACAGUAUACUCAAAUUAACUAAUAGCAGUGGUGUAAAAUACUACUAAAGUACUACUUAAGUAGUGUCUGUUCUUUACUAUUUAUAUUUUUGACAACUAUUACUUCACCAUAUUCCUAAAUAAAAUUAUGUACUUUUUACUCCAUACAAUUCCCUGACACCCAAAAGUACUUGUUACAUUUUGAAUGCUUAGCAGGACAGGAAAAUGGUCUAAUUCACACUUAUCAAGAGGACAUCCCUGGUCAUCCCUACUACAUCUGAUCUGGCAGACUCACUAAACACAUUCGUCGUUUGUAAAUGAUGUCUGAGUGUUGGAGCGUGCCCCUGACUAUCCAUAAAUAAAACAAUAAUAUGGUGGUGUCUGGUUUUCUUAAUAUUAGGAAUUUGAAAUGAUUUAUACUUUUAGUUUUGAUACUUAAGUUUAUUUAAAACCAAAUACUUUGACUUUUACUCUAGGUAACUCUCACUUUUACUUGAGUAAUUACUCUUUAGUUAUGUAGUAUACAGUAUGUUAGUAUGGGUAUUAGAAGACAGCUCAAAAUAGUCCGAAUUAAUCUAAAAUAUCUCAAGAAAUCUGUCAAAUGUUUACGUUUUUGCCGAAGAGAUAUUAGUCGCGCAAUUCUACAUCUAACUAAGAUGUUUGGUGCAGUAUUUUUCAAUGAGAAAAUGUGCAUGAAAACUAGUCGUCUUUCAUAGAAUGACAAAAGACUUCCCUACUGUUGACCAAUCACCGACAAGGGGCGUAGACUUUGACUCCGAACUUCGACUUGUGUGAACAGCCGAGAAAACCCUCACCGAUGUCCAAAACGAACAAAAACGUCAUAAUAUAUGCACAAACUCUACCGAACUGAUUUAUUACUGUUACCAGUAAUAAUGAAUCUCCAUGGAGGCUAAAUAUGCUAACAUGUGCAAACAAAAAUAAACUAAUUGCAAAGACAGUCAAUCCAGCUCAAAAAGGAGAAAAAAAUGCAAGGAAAACAAAAGAUAGCAGUGGCAGCUGUACAGAUAACUCAACCAAAGGGCUUUGACUUCUCAAACAGAAAGUUUACACAAUUCACUAAGCAAAACAUUAAGAAAUAUAGCUGGCUACAUUCUAUCUAUGAUAAACAGACAUUUUUUUUUAAAGACCUUGCUUUUUCAUUGUAAGCU